rnacentral:rRNA from 1 species
GACGAACGCUGGCGGCGUGCUUAACACAUGCAAGUCGAACGUAAAGGCCCUGCUUUUGUGGGGUGCUCGAGUGGCGAACGGGUGAGUAACACGUGAGUAUCCUGCCCUUGACUUUGGGAUAACUUCAGGAAACUGGGGCUAAUACCGGAUAGGAGCUCCUGCUUCAUGGUGGGGUUUGGAAUGUUUCGGCGGUUGGGGAUGGACCCGCGGCUUAUCAGAUUGGUGGUGGGGUAGUGGCUUACCAAGGCUUUGACGGGUAGCCGGCCUGAGAGGGUGACCGGCCGCAUUGGGACUGAGAUACGGCCCAGACUCAUACGGGAGGCAGCAGUGGGGAAUAUUGCACAAUGGGAGGAAGCCUGAUGCAGCAACGCCGCGUGCGGGAUGACGGCCUUCGGGUUGUAAACCGCUUUAGCCUGUGACGAAGCUUGAGUGACGGUAAUGUGUAAAGAAGCACCGGCUAACUACGUG